GUAAGGCUUCGCGGUGCGUAAGGUGCUGAAAUCCCUGGGGCCAAUACACACCUCUAGGGAGCUGUCCCUGCCGGGAUCGUGGUCCCGGUACAUGGUGCCCACCUGCACUUGCAGGCCACAGAGGAUAUCAGGCGCCGACGGCCAGCGCAGCUUUACC
rnacentral:other from 1 species